rnacentral:rRNA from 1 species
AACGAACGCUGGCGGCAUGCCUAACACAUGCAAGUCGAACGAAGCCUUCGGGCUUAGUGGCGCACGGGUGCGUAACGCGUGGGAAUCUGCCCUUGGGUUCGGAAUAACAGUUAGAAAUGACUGCUAAUACCGGAUGAUGUCUUCGGACCAAAGAUUUAUCGCCCAAGGAUGAGCCCGCGUAGGAUUAGGUAGUUGGUGGGGUAAUGGCCCACCAAGCCGACGAUCCUUAGCUGGUCUGAGAGGAUGAUCAGCCACACUGGGACUGAGACACGGCCCAGACUCCUACGGGGGGCAGCAGUGGGGAAUAUUGGACAAUGGGCGAAAGCCUGAUCCAGCAAUGCCGCGUGAGUGAUGAAGGCCUUAGGGUUGUAAAGCUCUUUUACCCGGGAUGAUAAUGACAGUACCGGGAGAAUAAGCUCCGGCUAACUCCGUGCCAGCCGCCGCAGUAACAC